rnacentral:rRNA from 1 species
UGGGAACGUGCCCAAAGGUACGGAACAACUCCGGGAAACUGGAGCUAAUACCGUAUGUGCCCGAAAGGGGAAAGAUUCAUCGCCUUUGGAUCGGCCCGCGUCUGAUUAGCUAGUUGGCGGGUAAUGGCCCACCAAGGCGACGAUCAGUAGCUGGUCUGAGAGGAUGACCAGCCACACUGGGACUGAGACACGGCCCAGACUCCGUACGGGAGGCAG